rnacentral:rRNA from 1 species
UACGUAGGGUGCAAGCGUUGUCCGGAAUUAUUGGGCGUAAAGAGCUCGUAGGCGGUCUGUUGCGUCGGCUGUGAAAACCCGGGGCUCAACUCCGGGCCUGCAGCCGAUACGGGCAGACUAGAGUUCGGCAGGGGAGACUGGAAUCCCUGGUGUAGCGGUGAAAUGCGCAGAUAUCAGGAGGAACACCGGUGGCGAAGGCGGUUCUCUGGGCCUUACCUGACGCUGAGGAGCGAAAGCGUGGGGAGCGAACAGG